CUCAGGUGAUCCGCCCGCCUUGGCCUCCCAGUGUUGGGAUUACAGGCGUGAGCCAUCACGCCCGGCCGAUGCUUAUAUUUCAUAUUGAAGGGACACACCUCAACACAUUUACUUUUGGAAACUGUUAAGCAGAUAGAGGGAACGCUGAAAAAAUUUCUACCAGAGAUAUACCAAGAGGAUUUGUCCUGCUCCGUAAUUGUAAUCUCUUUGCCUGGCCUUUGCUUUCGUCUGUGAAGCUGCCACUAGCUCCGGACCAGCCAGAGCCACCUACUCGGAUCAUGUUGGCAGAACCCAGUACUGUUUCGAGGCCAGAUGCACCAUUUCAGCAAUUCAGGAGGAAAUAAGCAGUGUGGAUAAACUGAUACCCAUUUUUGAAAGUCGGCCUGGGUUCGCAUUCAGAAGAAAUGUC